AUUGAACGCUGGCGGCAGGCCUAACACAUGCAAGUCGAGCGGCAGCGGGAAAGUAGCUUGCUACUUUUGCCGGCGAGCGGCGGACGGGUGAGUAAUGCCUGGGAAAUUGCCCAGUCGAGGGGGAUAACAGUUGGAAACGACUGCUAAUACCGCAUACGCCCUACGGGGGAAAGCAGGGGACCUUCGGGCCUUGUGCGAUUGGAUAUGCCCAGGUGGGAUUAGCUAGUUGGUGAGGUAAUGGCUCACCAAGGCGACGAGCCCUAGCUGGUCUGAGAGGACGAUCAGCCACACUGGAACUGAGACACGGUCCAGACUCCUACGGGAGGCAGCAGUGGGGAAUAUUGCACAAUGGGGGAAACCCUGAUGCAGCCAUGCCGCGUGUGUGAAGAAGGCCUUCGGGUUGUAAAGCACUUUCAGCGAGGAGGAAAGGUUGAUGCCUAAUACGUAUCAACUGUGACGUUACUCGCAGAAGAAGCACCGGCUAACUCCGUGCCAGCCGCCGCCGUAAAAC
rnacentral:rRNA from 1 species